rnacentral:misc_RNA from 1 species
UACGGAGAACCCAAGCGUUACCCGGAAUCACUGGGCGUAAAGAGUUGCGUAGGUGGCUGUUCAAGUCGGGCGUGAAAGCUCAAGGCUCAACCUUGAGAUUAUGUCCGAUACUGGAUAGCUAGAGGAUGGUAGAGGCAGGUGGAAUUGCUGGUGUAGGAGUGAAAUCCGUAGAUAUCAGCAGGAACACCAAUGGCGAAGGCAGCCUGCUGGGCCAUUCCUGACACUGAGGCACGAAAGCGUGGGGAGCGAACCGG